CCUCCUUUUUUCCGCCGUGCGGCCUCUUGGUCCCUGGGCGGCCGCCUGCCCCAGCCAAGUAGCGUGCAGGAUGACGGCCCUACGGGUUGUAAACUGCUUUUAUACGGGAAUAACGCGCCUUACGUGUAGGGCUUUGCAUGUACCGUAUGAAUAAGGACCGGCUAAUUCCGUGCCAGCAGCCGCGGUAAUACGGAAGGUCCGGGCGUUAUCCGGAUUUAUUGGGUUUAAAGGGAGCGUAGGCCGCAUGUCAAGCGUGCUGUGAAAUGUCCGGGCUCAACCCGGGCCUUGCAGCGCGAACUGGCGUGCUUGAGUCCGCGGAAAGCAGGCGGAAUUCGUCGUGUAGCGGUGAAAUGCUUAGAUAUGACGAAGAACCCCGAUUGCGAAGGCAGCUUGCUGCAGCGGAACUGACGCUGAUGCUCGAAAGCGCGGGUAUCGAACAGGAUUAGAUACCCUUGUAGUC
rnacentral:rRNA from 1 species